CUAUUUUUUUUUUUUUUUUUUUGCUAGAAGUUCUAUGGUACUUUUAUAAGGUCAAUCUGGAAGAGGUAUGAAAAAGUUCCUGAGAUCAAAAUGAUUUCAGAGGGUCUUUAAAGAACUAGGUGAUACUUGUAGCAAUAAAGCUUUUGUUGGAAUAAAGAUUAUGCCUUGUUCCUGGCAAGUAGAGAGAGGAGGAUUUCAUCUUUGUGUACACAAAUUUGAUUAGACUAAAAACUCAUAAAAGUUUGGCAUCUGUCUCACUGUAACUAAAUGAAUUAGAAAUAUAUUUUUUUGGACCAAAAGCUACAGUUUGCUGAACCAUCAUUCUUUUGUUUUAUUUUAAAGGAAUUUGAUGCUGCUAGGUAGUACCCAAAUAGAAGGUUUUGGAAUUAAGGAGCAAAAGUCCUGAGCUGGGUAUUUAGUAACUAUGAUAGGUAAAGAGGCUUGCAUUAGGCUUUUAGCAGAGGGCAUUGACUGACUGGUGUCUCAGCAGUGUUGGUACCAUCCUCUAUUUAACUGACCUUGAAAACAGAAAAUUCAACUAGAUUUUAUGGAGGGCUUAUAUAUACUCAAGUGCUGUCAGGGUAGAUAGAAGUCUAUGAGAUGAAGACCCAAUGCUUAAGAAAUCUAUAGCACAUUAGAUUCUAGCUACUCCUAUAUACUGAAGUAAUUCUGCAUUUCUCAUGCCUUUUUAUGACAGUUCUGGGGGAUCAGUCCCAUGCUGUAAUGCUCAAUAAAGAAUUAUAAGCAUGCUAGAUGGCAGAGAAUGCCAACAAAGGCUUGCUGCAGUAUUCCACAAAAAAGUAUGGUGCAACAUAGUUAUGGGUGGCGUAUUGCAGCACACAAGGCUCAUGUACGACAUACACUGGAAACAGAAUGAGAAUGGAGGAGCCUUGAUGGAAUGAAUGGCUUGAAGAAAUGGCACAGGACUGGAAAUCAGAAGACCUGGGCUGUCGUGAGGUUUCGACCUUCUAUUCUUAUGAAGUGUUGACUCUGUGUCAGGUAUUGGUUUUGAAAAUGCUCCCAAGGAAAGCUGCAUACAAAUAUCCACCUCAGAGUCUAAUUCCAAGGAACCCAGUCCAGAUGGCUGCCUUCCAGAGUCUGGGUUCUCUGCCGCUGUUUGAUACUGUAAGUCACCACUCUGAGUUGCUCUGAGAUUAUAGGGAAACAAGUCAAACUCAGUGUUACUUAGACUGUCACUCAACAAUCAUGAUGUGUAGGUUUUUCUCCACACAUUAAGCAAGCAAUCAAUUCUGCAGGGGACACUAGCUGGGGGUCCUCUAAAUCAAUUCACUUUGACACUAUCUACCUGGAGAUAGCAUCAGAUCCCACUGGUUGAGGGCUCAGUCUGCAAGACUGCCCCCGUCACUGAUGCUGACUGCAAGCCCCAGGUUGUUUUACCUGUGCUUCUGAUCGACCAGCUAUAAAUCAGGGUUUC